rfam:Bombyx mori DNA, contig: Bm_scaf25_contig16498, strain: p50T/Dazao, build 2, whole genome shotgun sequence.
ACAACAUUCGGACCGUCGGUCUACCGAGCAAUAUCACCCGCUCGGUGGAAGAUCUUCACUUUGUCGU